rnacentral:lncRNA from 1 species
GAGAGAGUACAGAGGAGAGAGAGUACAGAGGAGAGAGAGAGAGAGGUGGAGAGAGAGAGAGAGAGAGAGAGAGAGAGAGAGAGAGAGAGAGAGAGAGAGAGAGAGAGAGAGAGAGAGAGAGAGAGAGAGAGAGAGAGAGAGAGAGAGAGAGAGAGAGAGAGAGAGAGAGAGAGAGAGAGAAAGAGAGAGAGAGAGAGAGAGGGCCCCUUGUUCAAACAAACAGGGGCGUUUGGGGUACUGGACCUCGAGUGGCAAGAUGCCAUAACAAACCUCUCUCUCUCUCUCUCUCUCUCUCACUCUCUCUCUCUCUCUCUCUCUUUCACUUUCUCUCUCUCUCUCUCUCUCUCUCUCUCUCUCUCUCUCUCUCUCUCUCUCUCUCUCUCUCUCUCUCUCUCUCUCUCUCUCUCUUUCACUUUCUCUCUCUCUCUCUCUCUCUCUCUCUCUCUCUCUCUCUCUCUCUCUCUCUCUCUUUCACUUUCUCUCUCUCUCUCUUUCACUUUCUCUCUCUCUCUCUUUCACACCCUCUCUCUCUCUCUCUCUCAAGCAGGGGGGGCAACCGGGGGCCCCGGGUGUGUAGUGGUAGCCACGGCGACCAGACUGCAACAUGGCGGCGGCCGGAGGUGUGGAGCGACAGCAGACCGGAGCCCUAAAGGUGUGUGACGGAGGCUCCUGGGCCUCACUCCUCCACACUAAAGAAAAGAGAUGGAACCAACAGCCAUCAUAUAUUGUUACCGUACAGAAGCCGUGCCUGAGGAGGGCAGCACACAUGGCUGGAGCUGAGAGGGGGAGAGCUGGCCAGGUAAGUAGCUAUCAUCAUAGGAGCACACACACGCACACACACACAGAAACAGUCACACACACACACACACACACACGCAUAGCCACAUCGACGCUGACACACAUACUCAUAAACAUAAACACACACACACACACACACACACACACAUACACACACACGCAUUCCCAAAUGGACGUUGACACACACACUCACAUACAUAAACACAUCCAUGCACAGCCACACACACACAGACCCACAGACACACACACACACCAACACACACACCCCAACACACAUACACACAUACAAACUCGAACACACACACACCUACACACACACACACACACACACACACACACACACACAUUUGCACACACACACACACACACACACACACACAUACAUUCACACUUAUGAACAUACAUUCACACAAACACUCAAACUCACACACAGACACACACACCGGCACACAAACACACACGCAAACACAUGGCCGUCUAUUUGUGUUUUGCAGGUCUGCCCGGAGCGAUGGGAAUUAGCCAGCUUUCAUUGCAGGAUAUUAAAACCGCCGGUAGGACGCGGGUUCGAGUUCCCCCGGCCCUAGUGUGGUGUGCCUGUUUGUGUACCUUGGAAAGUGAGAGAGUGAGAGAGAGAGUGAGAGAGAGAGUAGCAAAGGAAACAGAACCAAAGAGAAAGGGAUAAAGAGUUCUUAUUGAUUGGGAUUAAUUGCUAAUGGCGUCAGGCUUUUUGAAAUAAUAUACAGAGCUCUAAAGAGGUUAUUAUACGUUCACCAAGAUUUAGCCUGAACCUAGGUGUAGUGGAACAGAAACAGAGGUGUUUAUGUGUGUAUGUUGAAAAGGUGUGUGUCAAAGCGUAUUAGGGGUGCACAUAUAUGUUCGUAUGAUUAGCUUCCGGGCCUUCGGCUACGGUGUCAGUGUUUACAGUAAUGUGUGUGUGAUUUCAGGACGGGGGAUAAGAACAUAAUUUAAAUUUGGUAGAGAGGUUGAUAUUGCGUUUCGGUUGUGUGUUCCUGCUCUGAGGCAACCCACAUCUUAUUUUAAGAUGUGAAAUGUGUACUUCGACUGAAGGUAGGGUCACUCAACUGGGAGAUCUGGAGAGAGGCCAUGUAAUUUCUAGAUUCCUCAACUUGUUUUUGUUUUACCUGAAUAUAAACAAAUGGCCCAACACUGCCAUAUUCCUACUGUGAGUUAUACAAUUUUACACGUAUCGUAGAAGUACUGAUUUAAUCCAUUUCAUGCUUAUAUGAUUUGAUCUGGGGGCAGAACCAAGGGCCUAGUGUGACUAAUUGGUUUGAUCCCCCAUGCGUCUGUUUGAUCCUCCUGUCUCACCCCACCCCAUGUCUGUAUCCUUGUCUUUGGAAUCCUGUCCCACCCUACCCCAUGUCUGCAGAUCUGUCUUUGGAAUCCUGUCUCACUUCCCGUGUCUAUAGACUUGCCUUUUUUAUCCUGUCUCACCCCACCUAAUGUCUGCAGACUUGUCUUACACAUUCUGUCUCACCCCACCCCAUGUCUGCAGACUUGCUGGAGGCAUUCUGUCUCACCCCACCCCAUGUCUGCAGACUUACUGGAGGCAUUCUGUCGCACACCACCCUAUGUCUGAAGACUUGCUGGAGGCAUUCUGUCUCACCCCACUCCAUGUCUGCAGACUUGCCGUCGGCAUCCUGUCGCACACCACCCUAUGUCUGAAGACUUGUCUUUGGAUUCCUGUCUCACCCGUCUCAACCCACCCCAUGUCUGCAGACUUGAAGUUCGUAACCUGUCGCAACCCACUCCACGUCUGCAGACCUGCCGUCGGCAUCCUGUCUAUGGAAUAUAGCAAAACAAGCUCCGGACCAUAAUCCCCAAGGCAAGAGGAAGCCUGGAAGAAUUCAAUCCAACUGACUGCUUGAUGACCUGACCAAGACGGGGACCUUCUGGCAAGAAGCAAAGACCAUCGAGCAGAGGAGAGUGAGGUGGAGAUCCACGGUGGACACCCUAUUCUCCCAAGGGAGCCGAAUAGAUUAAAGAAGAAAGAAAAAUGGCUUCAACUGGGCUUUGCUUCAAUAAUACUUAACAGUGAACAGCAGAACUUGGAAAUAGGAAACUUACAAGGAGGGGGAAAAAGGACUUUAAGAAUGAUUAAUUAGUUCAUUUUUCCCAUGAUCAAUUUCCCUGACCAAAAUAUUCAACUUCCCUGCUGAUUUGGGGGUUACGCUUUAAUUAUUCACAUGGGACUGCAGUAAUCCCACACAAUGGUUGAGCCCUGACUCAUAUAUUACCUUCUGAUGUAUUAAUUACAUUGGAUCAAGUGUUAAUUGUCGAUAAAGUUGCAAUAGUGCCG